UCGUUGGUCUUGAAAAAACGUUGCUGUUUUGGGUCUUUUAGCACACGAUUGGUUAAAAACUGCUUGAAAAUCUGCCUAUGAUAAAUCUUCUCUUCAAUGGUUCCAGAUGUGAGUAAUCUGCAAAUGGAAUGAAAGACAUGAAUCUGGAGAACAUUUUAACAGAGAAAGAUAAAAAAAGCUUGUGCUCAGAGAGCAAAACUGUCAUGCAUAGUAAAAAACAGGCAUCUCCAAAUUGCAAAUCUGCAAUAUGUAGAUAUAUUUCUGUAGGAAUGCAAAAGUUUCUUGAUUGUUACUGAUAAAUUUUAAUACUUAAUGGAAAUGGAUGUAAGCUCCACCCUUUUGGGUGGUUACCUGAUAUCUUUACAUAAAUUUCAUUUUCUUCCUAAAGCUACACAAUGUUCUUUAUUUUGCAGGUAACCUUAAAUAUACCAUCUAAUGCUGAAGGAAAUACCAUGAGGAUGAAGAAAAAACCAGGCUAACUACUUUUAAAAAGAAAGCACUUGGCUUGUAGUGGUUUGACAACACUUGAAUUAAAGUUUGAAUUAAAAAAUAGUAGGUACACUUGGAUUUAUCAGGACUGGAUAUGCACUGAAUGACCCGUUGUGAUCAGAAGCACAAUUCUUUCUAUCAGGCAUAUAAAUUAUCUGAAGAACUGCAGAAUACCAUGAUAAUUCUGUACCAUGAAAAGUAUAUAGAAAGUAUUAAAAAUAAAACUCAGUUUGCAAA